rnacentral:rRNA from 1 species
UACAGAGGUCUCAAGCGUUGUUCGGAUUCAUUGGGCGUAAAGGGUGCGUAGGCGGCGCGGUAAGUCGGGUGUGAAAUCUCGGGCUUAACUCCGAAACUGCAUUCGAUACUGCCGUGCUUGAGGACUGGAGAGGAGACUGGAAUUUACGGUGUAGCAGUGAAAUGCGUAGAUAUUCGCAAGAACACCAGUGGCGAAGGCGGCUCACUGGCCCGAUACUGACGCUGAGGCACGAAAGCGUGGGGAGCAAACAGG